GCGGGUAUCGUAUAACGGUUAUUAUGUCAGUUUUCCAAACUGAAAACGGGAGUUCGACUCUCCCUACCCGCUCCA
rnacentral:tRNA from 1 species